rnacentral:lncRNA from 1 species
AUUAAAAUAAUUAUGUUAAAUAAGUGUGAUAGAUCGAAGAUUAACUUACUUUUUCAUCAAGAAAGAGAACCGUGAUUCCCACAAACUCCUUGUCUUUCUUGAAGUUCAGGGAAUCCCAGAAGCGGAGGAAGCCAAAGGCUAUGCUUUGACUACUACGACCAAGACGGAGAGACUCGAAGGUUGAGUUACGGACGCCGGGACGCCGGUUUGAGAAACUGGAGAGGCAGAGAGAAACAUUUUCUAGAAGAUGAAGAUUGGAUUCAUCAAAGAUGAGAAUCAUAUAUAUAGGGUUUACAAAGGGGCUACAAAUCAGGAACAUUUAUGAUAAAGCGAUUUAAGAUGGGGACAUGAAGAGUUCACCGGUGAAAAAAU